AUUGAACGCUGGCGGCAGGCCUAAGACAUGCAAGUCGAGCGAGAAAGCCCUUCGGGGUGAGUACAGCGGCGGACGGGUGAGUAACGCGUAGGAAUCUACCCAGUAGUGGGGGACAACUAGUGGAAACGCUAGCUAAUACCGCAUACGCCCUAAGGGGGAAAGCGGGGGAUCUUCGGACCUCGUGCUAUUGGAUGAGCCUGCGUAAGAUUAGCUUGUUGGUGGGGUAAUGGCUCACCAAGGCGACGAUCUUUAGCUGGUCUGAGAGGAUGAUCAGCCACACCGGGACUGAGACACGGCCCGGACUCCUACGGGAGGCAGCAGUCGGGAAUAUUGCGCAAUGGGGGAAACCCUGACGCAGCCAUGCCGCGUGUGUGAAGAAGGCCCUAGGGUUGUAAAGCACUUUCAAUUGGGAGGAAAAGCUAAUGGUUAAUAGCCAUUAGCCCUGACGUUACCUUUAGAAGAAGCACCGGCUAACUCCGUGCCAGCAGCCGCGGUAAUACGGAGGGUGCAAGCGUUAAUCGGAAUUACUGGGCGUAAAGCGCGCGUAGGCGGCUCUUUAAGUCGGAUGUGAAAGCCCCGGGCUCAACCUGGGAACUGCAUCCGAUACUGGAGGGCUAGAGUGUAGGAGAGGGAGGUAGAAUUCCAUGUGUAGCAGUGAAAUGCGUGGAUAUAUGGAGGAAUACCAGUGGCGAAGGCGGCCUCCUGGCUUAACACUGACGCUGAGGUGCGAAAGCGUGGGGAGCAAACGGGAUUAGAUACCCCGGUAGUCCACGCCGUAAACGAUGUCUACUAGCUGUAGGGGUACUUGAGACCUUUGUAGCGCAGCUAACGCACUAAGUAGACCGCCUGGGGAGUACGGCCGCAAGGUUA
rnacentral:rRNA from 1 species